rnacentral:rRNA from 1 species
AUACGGAGGGUGCAAGCGUUACCCGGAAUCACUGGGCGUAAAGCGCGCGCAGGCGGCUAUUUAAGUUGGAUGUGAAAGCCUACGGCUCAACCGUAGAACUGCAUCCAAAACUAUUUAGCUAGAGUGUGGGAGAGGAAGAUGGAAUUAGUUGUGUAGGGGUAAAAUCCGUAGAGAUAACUAGGAAUACCAAAAGCGAAGGCAAUCUUCUGGAACACUACUGACGCUGAGGCGCGAAAGCGUGGGGAGCAAACAGGAUUAGAAACCCUAGUAGUCC